UUUUAAGUCCGAAUUGUCUAGUAAUUACAAAAAAGUGAAGAGUUUACAGAUAUACAAGGAAAUAAAGGCGAAUUAUUGCAAAGAAAACAAGUUUAAUUUCACUUUGAACGACAACGAUUUUUCUGGAAAGCAGAUACUUCACUCCUUUAAGUUUCCACCCAAGCCACAAUAAUUUCAAACGGUCUUGCGGAUGACCCAGCUGGUCACUCUUGUUUAUGUGGGGACUGGAGGUAAUGAGAGCCAAAAAAAGUGCUAUAAACCUAAUUUGGCUAGAGCAAGUUCACACGACACGACCGUGCUUUAAAAACUUGCUCUCCAUUAUGUACUUCCUUCCAUCAGGUUGGGGGGAAAAAAAUGGUGGGGAUGGUGAGUAAAUACACCAGUGGUUUCAUCAGAGGGGAACUCACUACUCAGGAGGUGACGGUGACGUGGUGCCGGUCCCUGAAGUACGCGCACAAGCUCCGGAGGUUGCGGGAGCUGAGGGAGGAAACAGGGACACGGUCAGAUUCGCUCCAGGUGGCGGGAGUGAGGAGGGGAGGAGUGACGAGGCGGACGUGCGGGGGCGGGGGUGUCCAACACAAACACAAACACGAACACGCUCAGCGUCCCCGGGGAGGGCGGACUGAAGCCACCUCACCAUUCAUCGCCCCUGGACCCCGCAGUCCCCCCUCGGACUCAGGGCCAGAGCCUUCUGCGAAGUAACCUAGCCCCAGGGAAACGGUAGCGGCCGCAGAAGCCCCGCUCUCUGUAACGGCCGCGGAGGAGCAGCAAGCCUCCCUGUGAGUCGGUGGGAGACAAGACGGAGCGGCGGUAAGGGCGGUAGGGAAGUGAAGCGCCUCUCUCCACCUUGUUACAGCGCGCUGAAAGCGGCCUACCCACCCCAUCGCUGCCGUUUUGCCUACCCGCUCCCCCCUUCCGCUGCCGCCUGGAGGGAAGCCGGAGCGACGGGGGUCACGGCGGCGGUCAGAGGGUAAAGGUCUUGCUCCCAGCAGCCUCCGCGGUGGAUACGUCGCCAUCUUGGAUCCGCGGGACAAGAAAAUUCAUGCGAGGGAGACGUGGUGGGCGGUCCUUCCUGUGACACGACCCUUGAGUGACAGUUCUAUUUGAUUGCCUCCGGUACUGUGAGGAAAGGACACGACUCUAUGGUGAGGACUGAUGGACAUACAUUAUCUGAGAAAAGAAACUACCAGGUGACAAACAGCAUGUUUGGUGCUUCAAGAAAGAAGUUUGUAGAGGGGGUCGACAGUGACUACCAUGACGAAAACAUGUACUACAGCCAGUCUUCUAUGUUUCCACAUCGGUCAGAAAAAGAUAUGCUGGCAUCACCAUCUACAUCAGGUCAGCUGUCUCAGUUUGGGGCAAGUUUAUACGGGCAACAAAGUGCACUAGGCCUUCCAAUGAGGGGGAUGAGCAACAAUACCCCUCAGUUAAAUCGCAGCUUAUCACAAGGCACUCAGUUACCGAGCCACGUCACGCCAACAACAGGGGUACCAACAAUGUCACUUCACACGCCUCCAUCUCCAAGCAGGGGUAUUUUGCCUAUGAAUCCUAGGAAUAUGAUGAACCACUCCCAGGUUGGUCAGGGCAUUGGAAUUCCUAGCAGGACAAAUAGCAUGAGCAGUUCAGGGUUAGGUAGCCCCAACAGAAGCUCGCCAAGCAUAAUAUGUAUGCCAAAGCAGCAGCCUUCUCGACAGCCUUUUACUGUGAACAGUAUGUCUGGAUUUGGAAUGAACAGGAAUCAGGCAUUUGGAAUGAAUAACUCCUUAUCAAGUAACAUUUUUUAAUGGAACAGGUAAGCUUAUUCUGGAGCUAG
rnacentral:lncRNA from 1 species